AAAGUUUCCAAAAUCUGCCUAGUCAACUCUGAUGUAUUCUAGGAGAUAUUGGGUGUAAAUGUGUGAAUAUUCUAGGAGAUUUAGUUUCCUUAGAAGUUAGCAUUUAAUUUAUUCUUUCCUACUUUAUUCUUUCCUUUCUCUCUUCAGUUGUAAUCUAUAUAUACUGCCUUGUACCUAUAUUACGAAUUUUAAUGAGAAUAAUUCCUACAAAUUACUCUCUCAUUCUAGAUGUUUCAUUUUUUGAUAUAUA